rnacentral:lncRNA from 1 species
CCUACUGGUCCCGGGUGCCGCGCGUGCGCACUUUGGGUGUGCGGGCCAGUGCCUGAUGGGAGUUGAUACCGCUGUACCAGAGCGUACCUGGCCCGAGCCACCCUGAUAUGAUAAAUAGCCAAAGACGUCAGUGACACGAACACAGUAAGCAUAGUAGGAGCUGAAAAACUAGAAGCAAUGAAAAUGUCAACUAUUUUGAUCAAAAAGUAGCAGUGUCUUCAGAAUUUGAUCAUAAAACCAGGAAUUAAAGGAUGAGAAAACCAUUUUUCUGAAGCUUAUACUUUCACAUUUCCUAGAGAACAUAUUUGUAUGGAUGGGGGAUGAAGAGGAUCUCCCAGGACUUUUCUCAGUGUCCUCAUGAGGGAGCCUCAGAGAAUGGAGAAAGUUCAAGUUCAUCAUGAUAGCACCUCGGCUGUGAACUCAUAGGAACAGGUGAGUAAAUCUGAAAAGCACAAUAGCAUUGGCUAGAUGAUCACUUGAGUUAUAUCGUCUUCUUAAUUCCUGCGGUAGCUGAGUAUAGAAAUUUCAGUUUAGUUACAUAAACUGUAGCAUGAUUUUUUACUCCUCUUUUGAUAGCAAUCAUCAAAGAUUUAGAGAAAUGGAAUAAAUAAUAAUCUAUGGUUCAUAGAAACCGGGAUAAAAAUUAUAAGGCUCUUAGUUCUCUCUUUUUUCCAGAUGUUAGUUAUCAUAUCCCCUAAGGAAAUAUUAAAAGGCUAUGACCUAGGCUGAUUACAUUUAUAAAAGCAAUGAAAAUAAUCCCAAUGUGUGCAUACAUACCAGCUUUGGUGGGUGGGGUAACAUAGCAGGGGAUAAAACAGCCCUAGAAUGCAAAUACUAAAAUAACCAUUGUCUAUCAAGCAAAAGGGCCACCAAGAAUCAAGGGUGCCUUGGAAAGGGAAGUGUCCUGGGGCACAAGAGUUGGGUCUGCAG